rnacentral:rRNA from 1 species
AGCAGCCGCGGUAAUUCCAGCUCCAAUAGCGUAUAUUAAAGUUGUUGCAGUUAAAAAGCUCGUAGUUGAACUUCAGGCCUGGCUGGAUGGUCCGCCUUCUGGGUGAGUACUGUCUGUGGUCGGGUCCUACCUUCUGGCGAAGCGUCAUGGCCUUCACCGGCCGUGGCGGGGAGCCAGGACUUUUACUGUGAAAAAUUAGAGUGUUCAAAGCAGGCACGCGCUUGAAUACAUUAGCAUGGAAUAAUGGAAUAGGACAGUGGUUCUAUUUGUUGGUUUCUAGGACCGUUGUAAUGAUUAAUAGGGAUAGUUGGGGGCAUUAGUAUUCAAUUGUCAGAGGUGAAAUUCUUGGAUUUAUCGAAGACUAACUACUGCGAAAGCAUUUGCCAAGGAUGUUUUCAUUAAUCAAGAACG